UCCAUUAGGGACAGGCUGGAAUAAUGGAUAGUGUUUUGACUGGGACCAAAGUGCAUAACCAUGCAGAUAGAUUUCACUGCUAUCUUUCAUGAGUGACGUCUAUGUGGGUGUUCGUUUCUAUGUGGACAUUGCACAUCGUUGCACUUCCGAACCGGACGGCCCCCCUCUCCCCGCCUGCAGUAACGUUACAUUCACCGUUGCAACUGCAUGAGGACCAUAUGGAGUGUCUACAAAGCAAUACAAUGAUAUAAGGGGACAAGAGCACGGAUGUGUGACCAUGCAAAGGGAGAGGACGAGGAGGGGGAAUUCAUCAUUGGCCCAGAGAUGGUGCUGCUGUGAAUAAACAGCAUGCAAACAUGAAAAACAUUAACCAAAUUUGGUUAUUGAAUGUCUCGUGUCCGGCAUGAUGAACUUUCCUGUGCUAUAUUUUCUCCCCAACUAUACUGAACAAAAAUAUAAACACAACAUGUAGAGUGUUGGUCCCACUUUUCAUGAGCUGACAUAAAAGAUGACAGAAAUGUUCCAUGUGCACAAAAAGCUUAUUUCUCUCAACUUCUGUGCACAAAUGUGUUACCAUCUCUGUUAGUGAGCAUUUCUCCUUUGCCAAGA